rnacentral:rRNA from 1 species
UGGGGAAUUUUGCACAAUGGGGGAAACCCUGAUGCAGCGACGCCGCGUGAUUUAGAAGGCCUUCGGGUUGUAAAAAUCUUUUUUAUGGGAUGAAAAUGACAGUACCAUAAGAAAAAGGUCCGGCUAAAUACGUGCCAGCAGCCGCGGUAAUACGUAUGGACCGAGCGUUGUCCGGAAUCAUUGGGCGUAAAGGGUACGUAGGCGGAUAAGCAAGUUAGAAGUGAAAUCCUAUAGCUCAACUAUAGUAAGCUUUUAAAACUGCUCAUCUUGAGGUAUGGAAGGGAAAGUGGAAUUCCUAGUGUAGCGGUGAAAUGCGCAGAUAUUAGGAGGAAUACCGGUGGCGAAGGCGACUUUCUGGCCAUAUACUGACGCUGAGGUACGAAAGCGUGGGUAGCAAACAGG